AGGGAGCAUUCAAGUAGGCGUGACAAAUUCUAUCGAAAGGUUCCAGAGUAGGCGCUACAACGCCGAAAUGACCUUCUCACCCUUGUGUACUCACUAUGUUGCUUUGGCGGGUCGACCUGGUUCCGACCCAGGCGGCCGGCGCNCCCAGCCUUAACUGGCCAGGACGCCCGGCUAAGUGCCCGCCAGUAUACAAAACUCAAGAAUUCAUUUUGUGAAGUCCUGAUAUAUCAUUUAAUUGAUUAAAACUUUCAACAACGGAUCUCUUGGUUCUGGCAUCGAUGAAGAACGCAGCGAAAUGCGAUAAGUAAUGUGAAUUGCAGAAUUCAGUGAAUCAUCGAAUCUUUGAACGCACAUUGCGCCCUCUGGUAUUCCGGAGGGCAUGCCUGUUCGAGCGUCAUUUCAACCCUCAAGCUCUGCUUGGUAUUGGGCAACGUCCGCUGCCGGACGUGCCUUGAAGACCUCGGCGACGGCGUCCUAGCCUCAAGCGUAGUANUAAAAUAUCUCGCUUUGGAGUGCUGGGCGACGGCGGCGGAACAUCGGACUUCGNUCUAUUUUUCCAGGGUUGACCUCGGAUCAGGUAGGGAUACCCGCUGAACUUUAGC
rnacentral:rRNA from 1 species